UACGUAGGGGGCGAGCGUUGUCCGGAAUCAUUGGGCGUAAAGAGCGUGUAGGCGGCUUGGCAAGUCUGACGUGAAAACCCACAGCUCAACUGUGGGCUUGCGGUCGAUACGGGCAGGCUAGAGUUCGGUAGGGGAGACUGGAAUUCCUGGUGUAGCGGUGAAAUGCGCAGAUAUCAGGAGGAACACCGGUGGCGAAGGCGGGUCUCUGGGCAAUAACUGACGCUGAGGAGCGAAAGCGUGGGGAGCGAACAGG
rnacentral:rRNA from 1 species